rnacentral:rRNA from 1 species
AUUGAACGCUGGCGGCAUGCCUUACACAUGCAAGUCGAACGGUAACGGGCCUUCGGGUGCCGACGAGUGGCGAACGGGUGAGUAAUGUAUCGGAACGUACCUUUCAGUGGGGGACAACGUAGCGAAAGUUACGCUAAUACCGCAUAUUCUGUGCGCAGGAAAGCAGGGGAUCGCAAGCCCUUGCGCUGAUGGAGGGGCCGAUAUCAGAUUAGGUAGUUGGUGGGGUAAAGGCACACCAAGCCAACGAUCUGUAGCUGGUCUGAGAGGACGACCAGCCACACUGGGACUGAGACACGGCCCAGACUCCUACGGGAGGCAGCAGUGGGGAAUUUUGGACAAUGGGCGCAAGCCUGAUCCAGCAAUGCCGCGUGCAGGAAGAAGGCCUUCGGGUUGUAAACUGCUUUUGUACGGAACGAAACGGUCUGGGUUAAUACCUCGGGCUAAUGACGGUACCGUAAGAAUAAGCACCGGCUAACUACGUGCCAGCCGCCGCCGUAAUAC